AAGCUGUGAUGAUUGCCAUAAUUAUAAUCUCGUCCAAAAAAUUCAUCAUUAUUCAUCUCACGCAGAGUUAAGCUCCUAAAAAAAUAUAACAAACAUAUGACAUAACAAACAUUUAACAAAGCAGUGAGAAUAAAAAUUAUUAAUAAUAACAUGAAUUCAUGGACGUUACCGGUCACUUUCAUUCAAAGUUUCAUUCAGAUCGAAUAUUGAAGAUUGUGAUGGCAUGUUACCCGAUAUGAUGUAUUGAGAAGCAUUCAUAUCAAAAAAAUUACUAUAAUGAGUUAAACGGGUAUCACCAACACUAGUUGGAUUCUCAAGUUGUGUAUAGACAUUCGUCUGUGCAGCAGAGUGAGCACGACGAGUCGUCCGCUCCUUCUUAACAUAAAUUUGAAGAAUGUUUAACUUUAGUUGAUUGGCAUAAUCACAAGGAGCCCUUAAAAAUUCAGUCAAUGACUCAUCGUCACUGAUAAUCCAUUCCCCAUAAUUUAUCAGUCCUUGUGAUGUCAAGGAAUUUGGGUAUUGUCCGAUUAUAAAUAGAUCAUAAUCACCACGUUUAACUUUCAUCCUUUUAAAAAUUGAAUCAACAAAUUCUUCAUAACCGAUUGAAAUUGGAUACUUGACAUUGCACUUAGGAGAAAUACUAUAAUAUAUUGUAUUACCCUAGUGGACAACUUCACCAUCCCAAAAAAGUACAAUUUUAACACGUUCACUCAUUCUCUAAGAUUCAAAUGAAUAAAAAUUUAGUUGAAUAAUAAAAAUUUGAAGAUGUUCAAGUGAUGAAAAUGAAUUAUGCUCUAUAAAUGUUCUCUUUAUAUAGAAUUUUUUUAUAUCCGUUGAAGAAACUAAAUGUCAUAUCCCUUUUUCGCUUGGAGGAUUUGAGUCGAAGGGUUUUCCAAUUAAAGUGACAGUUUUCAAUAGAGAUUAUUUUUUAUCAUUUUUAGAGUCACCACUUGGAAUUGAGUUAUGGUGUUCCAAGUCACCUUAUUGAAUCCCUAAUCAAAAGGAAAUGGCUCUUUGUUGGUCUGCGAAAACAGAAGACUGGGUAAGGAAUUCUGUUGACUGAGAGGAAGGUAUGAGGCACUCCUCGAAUUCCGUGGUUCUAGCACGAUAGCUUUAUUGACUUAUCUUGUCUUAAAUUAAUAAAUUGUGUUAAGGCCUAAUUUCGCUCAUUUUUAUUAUUUCGAAAACUUAUCUAUUAUUUUAUACUAAUUAAAUAAAUUGAUAAUUAAUUUUUUUUUAGAAAAAUAUUUAUCAAAGUGCAUUAUUGCAUCUUUGAAUUUUAAAAUAUCUCGAAAAGAUGCGUACAUCGCAUUCUUAAUUGAGACGAAUAUUUUAAACGUGCCUAAAAUUUUAUCUAACAUUAAAACUUUGAUUUGUUAUUUAUAAAUUCAUAACAAUCUUAACAAGAAUCUUUAAGCAAAUUUAUUUAAAGCGGUUAAAUAAAAAAAUAUUAAACUUUGUUAAUGACAAUGAAUAAUAAUAAUAAAAAAAAAUUCCAUUCAAAUUUGUCAAUUAAUUUAGAUUAUUAAACUUUAUUAUUAAUAAUGAGACAAAAUAAAUAAAAUAAAAUAAUAUAAUGUAAAUGCACAACUAACCAUAUUAUAAUCUUAUUAUAUUGAUUUUAAAAAUAAUUCAAUGGAUCUACCAUUUUUUAUUAAUAUAACUUAAAUUAUUAAUUAUUAAAAAUAAAAACAAGUCGACUUUUCCAAGAUUCAUUAUGACACAAAUAAAAGGCAGGCUGGGGAGAAAAAUAAUGUAACCGUAUCUGAUCUCCGGCGAACCUUCACCGGAGUCAACUUCCGAUUUUAAUUUUUUGAUGAUUUAAUGGCUGAUCUGGAUCGGAAAAGUGGGAUACGAGAGUGGGGUUGCGUUAAUCAACGAAGGGUCGCCGGCAAUGGAGUUAUCGCCAAUGGGAUGUUUCCGGCCAGAUCUGGCCUUCCCAUGGUGCGGCAGGGGUCGGGAGAAGGGGAGAAAGGGGUCGGAACAGUGCGGGGAAAGGUGUUUUCCGGCGACGGAGGGAGAGAAAUGGAUAACGGGAAAGGGAAUUUGGGGAUGGUGCGUGACGAAAACUAGUAGAAGCGCGUUUAACGGUGAUUAAAUCCGGCGAGAUGCGGCUGUUUAGUCACGGGAGGCGAUGGAAAAAGAAUGGUGGUUGGGUCGGUUUUCAAUUAGUUUCCAGCGGAUUUUUCGCCAGAAAAUUCAAACUAUGAAUUUCCUUCUUCUCAUUCAACUUCGAUCCCUCUUCUUUCACUCUCGUUAUCCUUUCUCGAUUUCUGUCAUUUCACUGAUUUUUGUUUUUACAUUUUUGCUAUCUCUGUAUGCAUAGUGAUGAUUGUGCGUACAUGAUGUAGUAUGCUUGUAUGUGCUGAGUGAAGAAGAAAGACAUAUGAAUUAUGAUUUUUGAUUUGUGGGUUUAUGUGUACAGUACAAAUAAUAAAUAUACAGUAGUUUAACGUAUCACAAGUAUAUCAAAAUUUUACGUAACUAGGCAAUUAUACAUAUUAAAGAAAACAAUGAAACCACUUACACAUUUUUCAAUCAUGUUUUUUUUUUGUUUUUUACAAGAACAUCCAUAAAACGAAUAUUACAUAAUUAAAUCAGAAAUAAGAACCUGAAUUAAAAAAAAAAAAUAGCAAUCCGAGCGUCGUAACUGGAAACUCUAAUAAAAUUUCAGCUUCAACUUCUUUCUUUUCUCUCUUUGUCUGAUGAUUUUUUUUUUCAGUAGUUUUCUUAGAUUUUUUUUUGUUGCAGUAUCUGAUCUCUAAUGUGAAAGUACGUUCUCCUUUUCACCCGGGGUGGGAGAGUUCUAUAAAUACAGGACUUUUUUGGGGAACAAAAAGAGGGAACAGUUAUUUACAAGAUAAGAUAAAGGGGGAGAUUUAAA
rnacentral:lncRNA from 1 species